rnacentral:rRNA from 1 species
AGAGAGAGACAUGCGCGCAUAUCAAUAAGCGGAGGAAAAGAAACUAACAAGGAUUCCCUUAGUAACGGCGAGUGAAGCGGGAAGAGCUCAAAUUUGAAAUCUUCAAGGUUUUACCUUGACGAAUUGUAGUUUAAAGAAGUGUUUUCUGCUGAAGUCUUGGUAAAAGUUCUUUGGAAUAGGACAUCAUAGGGGGUGAGAAUCCCGUAUUUGACCAUUAUUUUCAGCUUUGUGAUACACUUUCAAAGAGUCGGAUUGUUUGGGAAUGCAGUCCAAAAUGGGUGGUAAAUUUCAUCUAAAGCUAAAUAUUGGCGAGAGACCGAUAGCGAACAAGUACCGUGAGGGAAAGAUGAAAAGAACUUUGAAAAGAGGAGUUAAACAGUACGUGAAAUUGUCAAAAGGGAAGCGUUUGACACCAGUGUUGUUUUCUCGAAAAUCAAUUAAAAAUGGCUCGAUUUUGUAUUGCUUGAGACCUUAAAAGCUCACUGUACAUUUUUCGUGUCUUUUUUAAUGCACUUUUCGUUUAACAAGUCAACAUCAGUUUCUUUUGUUGUAAAAGGGUCAUUGGAAGGUGGCUUUCUUUUCGGAGAAAGUGUUUAUAGCCUUUGGCCUCUGCAAUCGGAGAGACUGAGGUCUGCAGCGUAGACUCUUCGGGGUUAGAUAUAUUUGUGCUAAGUUAUAGCUUUUUAUAGACAACUUGUUGACUAUAAUUAGUCUUGUAGCUUACUCGCUUAUGCUAUUUUACCUACGCUUAGGAUGUUGAAGAUGUAGCACAUCAU